UGGUUCACACUCAUGCUGGAAGGUCAUCACGAGUGGAGUUCCACAGGGAUCAGUUCUGGUCCGGUUCUCUUCAAUGUCUUCAUCAACGAUUUAGCUUAUGGCAUAGAGAGUACACUUAUAAAGUUUGCGGAUGAUACCAAGCUGGGAGGGGUUGCAAGUGCUUUGGAGGAUAGGAUUAAAAUUCAAAGUGAUCUGCACAAACUGGAAAAAUGACCUGAGCCUUCACUGUAUCCAUUAGUGCUACUGAAAACCUGAUUAGAAUGCUGUCUAUUCAUUAAGUCAUGAAGUUCCAAACUGAGGACUUGUCUGCACUACCUGCCGAAUCGGAGGGCAGCAAUCGAUCCGGGGGGGUUGAUUUAUGACACAAUAAGAUGACUGCUGAGCACUGUCCCAUCAUCUCCAGUACUCCACCAGAACGAGGCGCACAGGCAGAGUCGACAGGACAGCGUCAGCUGUUGACUUACCUCAGUGAAGACACCGCAGAGCUGACAGCCCAAUGGAAGGAGCCUUCAGUGCGAUGAACAAUGUCUGGAGUGAAGAGUGGGUGGAAUGAACACAGACAUGAUCCAAGCUGUGUCUUGUUCAGAUGGAAACUGAAUGAUACAUUGGCCGUGUCAACUGAAUCAACAGAACACAAACCUCCAUUCUAAGAAACAUGCCCAUGUGGCGCUCCUGGGUCAGACGUUGGCAGUAACAACAUGUAUUUUUUUUAAGUUUGUUUAUCUUUGUAGGGGUCUUUCAGUAACCUAAAAAUGUCACCACAAAAGUAUCCUGGUUUUUAAUA